CUGGGCUCAAUAGUCCCAUAAAGGGACCUGUGCAAGGAAGCGACUGCUAAAACUUGCUUUUCCUCAGCAAGGUCUCAGCUUUUCUGUGGGUCGUCCAGGUGAGACCCCAACCUGGAGCCAAUAGACCUUCCCAUGGAAAGGUCUUCAUCAUCGCCCUGCUCUGGACCUGCAUUCCUACUUCCAGGCCUUUGCUCCUGACCUGCCUUGCCAGGAGCACCAUUUCCUUCCUGUUUCAAUCUCAUCUCACAAAGCCUCCUCUCUGAGUCUUCCACUGAGCCCUCUGAUUUUCUGGUUUGGACUUACAGUGUCUGCAUAUUCUUCAUAUGCCAGCUCAUCUCGCCAACGGAAA
rnacentral:lncRNA from 1 species